GUGUCAGUACAAGCCGAACUAAGGCGAAACCGCAAACGGCUCAUUAAAUCAGUUUUAGUUCACUUGAGCGAAAACGUCCAAGUUACUGGAUAACUGUGGCAAUUCUAGAGCUAAUACAUGCAACCGAGUCCCGACCAGUGAUGGAAAGGACGCUUUUAUUAGAUCAAAAUCAAUCGGGGUCGGACACGCGCCGCUCCGUUUGACUUGAUGACUCUGAAUAACACACACCGGAUCGCACGGUCUCCGCGCCGGCGACCCAUCUUUCAAAUGCCUGACUUAUCAACUGUCGAUGGUAGACUCCACGUCUACCAUGGUUGUAACGGGUGACGGGGAAUCAGGGUUCGAUUCCGGAGAGGGAGCCUGAGAAACGGCUACCACAUCCAAGGAAGGCAGCAGGCACGCAAAUUACCCACUCCCGGCACGGGGAGGUAGUGACAAAAAAUAACGAUACGGGACUCAUCCGAGGCCCCGUAAUCGGAAUGAGAACACUCUAAAUCAUUUAACAAGUACCUAUUGGAGGGCAAGUCUGGUGCCAGCAGCCGCGGUAAUUCCAGCUCCAAUAGCGUAUAUUAAAGUUGUUGCGGUUAAAAAGCUCGUAGUUGGUUCUGCGUCCCGCGCUGUCGGUUCACCGCCUGUCGGUGCAACUGGCACGCCGCGGGAUGUCCUGUCGGUGGCGGCCGCGGCCCGGACGGCGGGGGCC
rnacentral:rRNA from 1 species